rnacentral:rRNA from 1 species
UAGCGGCGAGCGAACGGGGAGCAGCCCAGAGCCUGAAUCAGUGUGUGUGUUAGUGGAAGCGUCUGGAAAGGCGCGCGAUACAGGGUGACAGCCCCGUACACAAAAAUGCACAUGCUGUGAGCUCGAUGAGUAGGGCGGGACACGUGGUAUCCUGUCUGAAUAUGGGGGGACCAUCCUCCAAGGCUAAAUACUCCUGACUGACCGAUAGUGAACCAGUACCGUGAGGGAAAGGCGAAAAGAACCCCGGCGAGGGGAGUGAAAAAGAACCUGAAACCGUGUACGUACAAGCAGUGGGAGCACGCUUAGGCGUGUGACUGCGUACCUUUUGUAUAAUGGGUCAGCGACUUAUAUUCUGUAGCAAGGUUAACCGAAUAGGGGAGCCGAAGGGAAACCGAGUCUUAACUGGGCGUUAAGUUGCAGGGUAUAGACCCGAAACCCGGUGAUCUAGCCAUGGGCAGGUUGAAGGUUGGGUAACACUAACUGGAGGACCGAACCGACUAAUGUUGAAAAAUUAGCGGAUGACUUGUGGCUGGGGGUGAAAGGCCAAUCAAACCGGGAGAUAGCUGGUUCUCCCCGAAAGCUAUUUAGGUAGCGCCUCGUGAAUUCAUCUCCGGGGGUAGAGCACUGUUUCGGCAAGGGGGUCAUCCCGACUUACCAACCCGAUGCAAACUGCGAAUACCGGAGAAUGUUAUCACGGGAGACACACGGCGGGUGCUAACGUCCGUCGUGAAGAGGGAAACAACCCAGACCGCCAGCUAAGGUCCCAAAGUCAUGGUUAAGUGGGAAACGAUGUGGGAAGGCCCAGACAGCCAGGAUGUUGGCUUAGAAGCAGCCAUCAUUUAAAGAAAGCGUAAUAGCUCACUGGUCGAGUCGGCCUGCGCGGAAGAUGUAACGGGGCUAAACCAUGCACCGAAGCUGCGGCAGCGACACUAUGUGUUGUUGGGUAGGGGAGCGUUCUGUAAGCCUGCGAAGGUGUGCUGUGAGGCAUGCUGGAGGUAUCAGAAGUGCGAAUGCUGACAUAAGUAACGAUAAAGCGGGUGAAAAGCCCGCUCGCCGGAAGACCAAGGGUUCCUGUCCAACGUUAAUCGGGGCAGGGUGAGUCGACCCCUAAGGCGAGGCCGAAAGGCGUAGUCGAUGGGAAACAGGUUAAUAUUCCUGUACUUGGUGUUACUGCGAAGGGGGGACGGAGAAGGCUAUGUUGGCCGGGCGACGGUUGUCCCGGUUUAAGCGUGUAGGCUGGUUUUCCAGGCAAAUCCGGAAAAUCAAGGCUGAGGCGUGAUGACGAGGCACUACGGUGCUGAAGCAACAAAUGCCCUGCUUCCAGGAAAAGCCUCUAAGCAUCAGGUAACAUCAAAUCGUACCCCAAACCGACACAGGUGGUCAGGUAGAGAAUACCAAGGCGCUUGAGAGAACUCGGGUGAAGGAACUAGGCAAAAUGGUGCCGUAACUUCGGGAGAAGGCACGCUGAUAUGUAGGUGAAGCGACUUGCUCGUGGAGCUGAAAUCAGUCGAAGAUACCAGCUGGCUGCAACUGUUUAUUAAAAACACAGCACUGUGCAAACACGAAAGUGGACGUAUACGGUGUGACGCCUGCCCGGUGCCGGAAGGUUAAUUGAUGGGGUCAGCGCAAGCGAAGCUCUUGAUCGAAGCCCCGGUAAACGGCGGCCGUAACUAUAACGGUCCUAAGGUAGCGAAAUUCCUUGUCGGGUAAGUUCCGACCUGCACGAAUGGCGUAAUGAU